rnacentral:tRNA from 1 species
GCGCGGGUGUUGUAAUUGGUAGCCAAGUCUGACUUAAAAUCAGAUGCCUUAAUCGGCGUGCGGGUUCAAGUCCCGCCCCGCGCACCA